rnacentral:tRNA from 1 species
GGGAUUGUAGCUCAGUUGGUUAGAGCAGUUCGCUCAUAACGAAUUGGUCGUAGGUUCGAGUCCUACCAAUCCCACCG